GCGACAAAGGGGCUUCGGCCUGAGUAGAGCGGCGACGGGUGCGUAACACGUGAUAUCUGCCUCGUGGCGGGGAUAACAGUCCGAAAGGACUGCUAAUACCGCAUGUCAGGUCGGAAACCCCGGUUUCUGAACGAAAAAGAGGGCGCCCGCAAGGGGCUCUCACCACGAGAUGAGUCCGCGGCCCAUCAGCUAGUUGGCGGUGUAAUAGACCACCAAGGCUAAGACGGGUAGCUGGUCUGAGAGGAUGACCAGCCACACUGGGACUGAGACACGGCCCCAGACUCCUACGGGAGGCAGCAGUGGGGAAUAUUGGACAAUGGGCGAAAGCCUGAUCCAGCCAUGCCGCGUGAGUGAUGAAGGUCUUCGGAUCGUAAAAGCUCUGUGGGAAGGGACGAAAAAGCCUAACCUAAUACGUUAGGUCUUGACGGUACCUUCUUAGCAAGCACCGGCUAACUCCGUGCCAGCAGCCGCGGUAAUACGGAGGGUGCAAACGUUGCUCGGAAUUAUUGGGCGUAAAGCGGCAC
rnacentral:rRNA from 1 species